CAGAGACUGCAAGCGUUAUUCGGAUUCACUGGGCGUAAAGGGUGCGCAGGCGGCCAAGUGUGUGAGGCGUGAAAGCCUGGAGCUUAACUCCAGAAUUGCACCUCAAACUACUUGGCUAGAGCAUUGGAGAGGGUAGCAGAAUUCACGGUGUAGCAGUGAAAUGCGUAGAUAUCAUGAGGAAUACCAGAGGCGAAGGCGGCUACCUGGACAAUUGCUGACGCUCAGGCACGAAAGCGUGGGGAGCAAAAGGGAUUAGAUACCCCUGUAGUCCACGCCCUAAACGGUGCACACUAGGUCUUGGCGGAUUCGACCCCCCCAGGGCCCAAGCUAACGCGUUAAGUGUGCCGCCUGAGGACUACGGCCGCAAGGCUA
rnacentral:rRNA from 1 species